AUGAACGCUAGCUACAGGGCUUAACACAUGCAAGUCGAGGGGCAGCAUGGUCUUAGCUCGCUAAGGCCGAUGGCGACCGGCGCACGGGUGAGUAACACGUAUCCAACCUGCCGUCUACUCUUGGAUAGCCUUCUGAAAGGAAGAUUAAUACAAGAUGGCAUCAUGAGUCCGCAUGUUCACAUGAUUAAAGGUAUUCCGGUAGACGAUGGGGAUGCGUUCCAUUAGAUAGUAGGCGGGGUAACGGCCCACCUAGUCUUCGAUGGAUAGGGGUUCUGAGAGGAAGGUCCCCCACAUUGGAACUGAGACACGGUCCAAACUCCUACGGGAGGCAGCAGUGAGGAAUAUUGGUCAAUGGGCGAGAGCCUGAACCAGCCAAGUAGCGUGAAGGAUGACUGCCCUAUGGGUUGUAAACUUCUUUUAUAAAGGAAUAAAGUCGGGUAUGGAUACCCGUUUGCAUGUACUUUAUGAAUAAGGAUCGGCUAACUCCGUGCCAGCAGCCGCGGUAAUACGGAGGAUCCGAGCGUUAUCCGGAUUUAUUGGGUUUAAAGGGAGCGUAGAUGGAUGUUUAAGUCAGUUGUGAAAGUUUGCGGCUCAACCGUAAAAUUGCAGUUGAUACUGGAUAUCUUGAGUGCAGUUGAGGCAGGCGGAAUUCGUGGUGUAGCGGUGAAAUGCUUAGAUAUCACGAAGAACUCCGAUUGCGAAGGCAGCCUGCUAAGCUGCAACUGACAUUGAGGCUCGAAAGUGUGGGUAUCAAACAGGAUUAGAUACCCUGGUAGUCCACACGGUAAACGAUGAAUACUCGCUGUUUGCGAUAUACAGCAAGCGGCCAAGCGAAAGCGUUAAGUAUUCCACCUGGGGAGUACGCCGGCAACGGUGAAACUCAAAGGAAUUGACGAAGG
rnacentral:rRNA from 1 species